AGAGUUUGAUCCUGGCUCAGAACGAACGCUGGCGGCGUGGAUAAGACAUGCAAGUCGGACGAGACUUUUCGUUGUAGCAAUACGAUGGAAAGUUUAGUGGCGAACGGGUGCUUAACACGUGGGCAACCUGCCAGGAAGUGGGGGAUAGCUCGCCGAAAGGCGAAUUAAUACCGCAUGUGAUUAGAGAGGACAUCCUUUCGAAAUUAAAGUCGGGGCAACCUGACGCUUCUUGUGGGGCCCGCGGCCUAUCAGCUAGUUGGUGAGGUAACGGCCCACCAAGGCUUUGACGGGUAGCUGGUCUGAGAGGACGACCAGCCACACUGGGACUGAGACACGGCCCAGACACCUACGGGUGGCAGCAGUCGAGAAUUUUUGACAAUGGGGGAAACCCUGAUCGAGCGACGCCGCGUGGAGGAUGAAGGUCUUCGGAUUGUAAACUCCUGUCAUUGGGGAACAAUGCACAGAUAUUAACUGUAUUUGUGUUGAUAGUACCCGAAGAGGAAGGGACGGCUAACUCUGUGCCAGCAGCCGCGGUAAUACAGAGGUCUCAAGCGUUGUUCGGAUUCAUUGGGCGUAAAGGGUGCGUAGGCGGCGCGGUAAGUCGGGUGUGAAAUCUCGGGGCUUAACUCCGAAACUGCAUUCGAUACUGCCGUGCUUGAGGACUGGAGAGGAGACUGGAAUUUACGGUGUAGCGGUGAAAUGCGUAGAUAUCGUAAGGAAGACCAGUGGCGAAGGCGGGUCUCUGGACAGUUCCUGACGCUGAGGCACGAAGGUCAGGGGAGCAAACGGGAUUAGAUACCCCUGUAGUCC
rnacentral:rRNA from 1 species